CGGCACGAGUUCGAGCCCCCCACUCUCCUCUCUUAAAGCUUUCUUAGCAAUGAACAUCUAGGGUUUUCGUUUCAGGACUCGAGAAGCAGAGCCGCCCACAUGAGUUCAAAAUCAAAUCGCAACCGUCCUGUGGCGGCGAAGGCGACGGCAGUGGUGAUUCCUCCUCCUCCGUCUACGCCGUUAUCGGAGUCCGAUUACGCCUUCACCAUAACCAGAACAGCAGUUGCGCAGAUCUGCAGUUCCAUUGGAUUCACAGCGGCAGAAGCUCCCGUUCUCGGAAUCCUAACAGACAUCGCCAUCAGGUACCUGAGAACAAUCGCUAAGUCCGCCGCGGAUUCAGCCAACUCAGCAUGCCGUACCCAGGCAAAUCUCGUCGACACAAUCGCCGCCGUGGAUGAGCUGAGCUCGGUGAGUGGAUUCCCCGGAGCAUGGAGAGCUACCGAUUGUUUUCUCAACUCCGGCGCGGUGAAGAAACUCGAUACAUUCACAGAGGAUUCCAAGGAAAUUCCGUUCGCAAAACCGUUGCGUAGGAAAAUAUUUUCAUUAGGAAGCAGAAAAGGUUUGAGAAAUGUAGGCAGUAGUAGUAAGAUUGAGUACCUUGGAGGAGAUAAGAAGCAUAUCCCGAAAUGGCUACCAGUAAUGCCGGUGAUUGUGAAUCACGAAAAGGAAAUUGUUGAGAAGAGAAAAAGGGAACUUUGGGGAUAUUGUGGUGCUAAAACUGAGGAGGAACCAAAGAGGGAGAAAAAAACUGCUGCUGAUAGUGUGGAAAAGGAAAGGAAAGGACUUGAAUUGCCAUUGAAGAGAGGGAAAGUGAGGUUUAAGAUUGGUGGUGGUGGGGUGUCAGGUGUGUGUAGAAGUGGUGGAAUAGGGAAGAGAGUAUUAUGUGAGAAUUGGAAUUUUGAUGAUGAAAACUCUCAUCAAAACAAGAAUAGCAGCUUUGAUGAGGUAAUACAAGUGUGAUCUCAUAUUAUAAAAAACUAUUUUCGAAAGAAACUUGGCGAGGAACAAAAUGAGAUGAUAGAGUGAGUAUGAAGAAAGAAGUGGAG
rnacentral:misc_RNA from 1 species